AAAUGACGAAAAAGACCUACGUUAUCCACAAAAUCCCCGUAAAAUAGUUUCAAAAAACGGAGUAAUCGAAGAUUAUAGGAAUGAAUAACUAAAACUAUUUAACAUUUAAUGCGUAAGAGUGAGAAGGGGUUGUGGGGGGUUUUUUCUGGUAUCCAAAUCCUCCCAAAACUUCAAACUUUUGAAGGAAGCCUCCAUGAAAAUAUAUAAUAAAUCAUAAUCACCAAGGAACAAGAUGUGGAUGAUUCAAAUCAUCAAAGGGUAAGCACAAUAUAUUUUAAUUAUAAACAUAAAACGUGGAAGAAAAAAAAAAUCGAAAUCGCCAUCAAUUUUUUGUGACCCCACCCCAGAUUGUUUUCUGAAUCUUGCUGUUAUUGAUCCGAAACGGUAAUCAUUGGAAAGAUACAAAUGUUGGAGGAAUGAUUUAUGUUUGUUGUUUGGAAGCAAGGUUUGAACUUUGAGUUUGAGGUCUUGAUUUUUUUUUUU